rnacentral:rRNA from 1 species
AUACAACUUUCAGCAACGGAUCUCUUGGCUCUCGCAUCGAUGAAGAACGCAGCGAAAUGCGAUAAGUAAUGUGAAUUGCAGAAUUCAGUGAAUCAUCGAAUCUUUGAACGCACCUUGCGCUCCUUGGUAUUYUGAGGAGCAUGCCUGUUUGAGUGUCAUUAAAUUCUCAAC